rnacentral:rRNA from 1 species
CCUACGGGAGGCAGCAGUGGGGAAUAUUGCACAAUGGGGGAGACCCUGAUGCAGCCACGCCGCGUGAGUGAUGACGUAUUUCGGUAUGUAAAGCUCUAUCAGCAGGGGAGCAGUUGACGGUACCUGAUUAAGAAGCCCCGGCUAACUACGUGCCAGCAGCCGCUGUAAUACGGAGGGGGCAAGCGUUAUCCGGAUUUACUGGGUGUAAAGGGAGCGCAGACGGCAGUGAAAGUCUGGAGUGAAAGCCCGGGGCCCAACCCCGGAACUGCUCUGGAAACUGUGCGGCUAGAGUACUGGAGGGGCAGGCGGAAUGCAUAGUGUAGCGGUGAAAUGCGUAGAUAUUAGGAGGAACACCAGUUGCGAAGGCAGCCUGCUGGACAGUAACUGACGUUGAGGCUCGAAAGCGUGGGGAGCAAACAGGAUUAGAUACCCUGGUAGUC